GGGCCCGUAGCUCAGCCAGGACAGAGCGCCGGCCUCCGGAGCCGGAGGUCCCGGGUUCAAAUCCCGGCGGGCCCGCCA
rnacentral:tRNA from 2 species